UACGGAGGGGGCUAGCGUUGUUCGGAAUUACUGGGCGUAAAGCGCACGUAGGCGGCUUUGUAAGUUAGAGGUGAAAGCCCGGGGCUCAACUCCGGAACUGCCUUUAAGACUGCAUCGCUUGAAUCCAGGAGAGGUGAGUGGAAUUCCGAGUGUAGAGGUGAAAUUCGUAGAUAUUCGGAAGAACACCAGUGGCGAAGGCGACUCACUGGACAUGUAUUGACGCUGAGGUACGAAAGCGUGGGGAGCGAACAGG
rnacentral:rRNA from 1 species